GCUUCACUAGCUCAGUUGGCAGAGCGUCAGUCUCAUACUAGGGGUAACCCAAGUAGGAAUUAUCUGAAGGUCGAGAGUUCGACCCUCCCGUGGAGCA
rfam:Babjeviella inositovora NRRL Y-12698 unplaced genomic scaffold BABINscaffold_3, whole genome shotgun sequence.